rnacentral:rRNA from 1 species
ACGAACGCUGGCGGCGUGCUUCACACAUGCAAGUCGAACGGUGAAGGGGUCUGCUUUUGUGGGCCCUGGAUGAGUGGCGAACGGGUGAGUAACACGUGAGUAACCUGCCCCCUUCUUCUGGAUAACCGCAUGAAAGUGUGGCUAAUACGGGAUAUUCUGGGUCUGUCGCAUGAUGGGUCUGGGAAAGAUUGCGCCUUUGGGUGUUUUUGGUGGGGGAUGGGCUCGCGGCCUAUCAGCUUGUUGGUGGGGUGAUGGCCUACCAAGGCGGUGACGGGUAGCCGGCCUGAGAGGGUGGACGGUCACACUGGGACUGAGACACGGCCCAGACUCCUACGGGAGGCAGCAGUGGGGAAUAUUGCACAAUGGGCGCAAGCCUGAUGCAGCGACGCCGCGUGAGGGAUGGAGGCCUUCGGGUUGUAAACCUCUUUCGCCAGUGAAGCAGGCCUGCUCCUUGUGGGUGGGUUGACGGUAGCUGGAUAAGAAGCGCCGGCUAACUACGUG